rnacentral:rRNA from 1 species
AGCGAACGCUGGCGGCAGGCCUAACACAUGCAAGUCGAACGAACUCUUCGGAGUUAGUGGCGGACGGGUGAGUAACACGUGGGAACGUGCCUUUUGGUUCGGAAUAACUCAGGGAAACUUGUGCUAAUACCGAAUGUGCCCUUCGGGGGAAAGAUUUAUCGCCAUUAGAGCGGCCCGCGUCUGAUUAGCUAGUUGGUGGGGUAACGGCUCACCAAGGCGACGAUCAGUAGCUGGUCGGAGAGGAUGACCAGCCACACUGGGACUGAGACACGGCCCAGACUCCUACGGGAGGCAGCAGUGGGGAAUCUUGCGCAAUGGGCGAAAGCCUGACGCAGCCAUGCCGCGUGAAUGAUGAAGGUCUUAGGAUUGUAAAAUUCUUUCACCGGGGACGAUAAUGACGGUACCCGGAGAAGAAGCCCCGGCUAACUUCGUG